rnacentral:rRNA from 1 species
AGCUCCAAUAGCGUAUAUUAAAAUUGUUGCGGUUAAAACGCUCGUAGUUGGAUAUUUGUUGGGGAAUACCGGUCUACCCAUAGUGGCCUGCACUCGGUAUAUCUCCGACAUCUCUUUGGUUAACUGCGUUCACUUCAUUGUGCGCGUAGAUGAGCCAAAACUUUUACUUUGAGGAAAUGAGAGUGUUUCAAGCAGGCCUAGCCAUGAAUACGUUAGCAUGGAAUAAUAGCAUAGGACCUUGUGUCGUAUCUGUUGGUUGACGACACCUGGUAAUAAAAUAGGGAUAGUUGGGGGCAUUCGUAUUGCAUAGUCAGAGGUGAAAUUCUUAGAUUUGUGCAAGACGGACUACUGCGAAAGCAUUUGCCAAGGAUGUUUUUAUUAAUCAAGACGAAAGU